GUAAUUAUUAAUUUGUUACUGACGCUGAUUGCAAUUACAAAAGGUUUAUGUUUGUCCUAGUGGUGGGCGAACCCACCAAGGAAACAAGAAGUACGCAAAAGACAAGGGUGAAUAAUUCAGCAAGGCUGUAACCCCGAGAGGUUCCAGCCCGCCUUCAUAUUUGUGUAAUGAUCCCUCCGCAGGUUCACCUACGGAGA
rnacentral:misc_RNA from 1 species